CUGUUGCCAUAACUGUACUUAUGGAAUACUGGAAGUUAUUGUUUGAUCAGAAUCACUAAAGUUCUGGGCUUGAGAAUUCUAAAUAUUGACUUUAAGAUGCCCAUUCCAAGAUUUCAAAGAACAGAACCAUGUCACUUAAAGUAAGACAACAAUGUUACAAUGGUAUCUCAUGAAAAGGUUUUUAUAUAACUAUGUGCUGCUAGAUUACAGCCCACCGAAAGCCUUUUGUGAAGCUGUGUUUAGAAUUACCAUUUAAAUGACUGGCUUAGCAAUGUAUGCUGUACAAAGAAGAACUUGGAAUAAGACCCUGUGAAAGUAAACUAGGAAUCAGGGAUUCAUGAAGAAGUACAAAUAAAAUUGUAAUGGAUCAGAACAAAAACUAUGGAAAAGUCAGGAAUCAAAUUUUCUCAUCUGGAAGUGCGAUAGAAUACAUCCUCCUUGGAUACCAUUGAGGUCUUGGAUCAUAGACCUCAAUAACAAAUAGUAGGUAAUAAAUGAUAAGGGAAUACACUGAAAAUGUGCAGAAGAAACACUCAAGAGGCAUGCUGUGCUAAAAGAAAAGUCAUUACAAAACGCUCUCUCCUGCAUGCUACAUUAGCACAAGUUGGAAUGUAUAUUGAUAUUUACGCAUCAUACAUAAUGGGGAGAAAAAUAAAGCAAAAUAAUGAUUUCA